rnacentral:tRNA from 1 species
GGGGGCGUGGCCGAGCGGUAAGGCACUGGGUUAUGGCUAAUAUUUAUUAUUAGCUAGGCUCUUAAUGAAUUA